GGUCGCUUAGCUCAGUUGGGAGAGCACCAGCCUUACAAGCUGGGGGUCGCAGGUUCGAGCCCUGCAGCGACCACCA
rnacentral:tRNA from 4 species